CUUGUAGGCGGCUUGGUAAGUCGGAUGUGAAAGUCCCGGGCUCAACCCGGGAAGUGCAUUCGAAACUGCUAGGCUUGAGUAAGAGAGAGGAAAGUGGAAUUCCUGGUGUAGAGGUGAAAUUCGUAGAUAUCAGGAGGAACACCGGUGGCGAAGGCGACUUUCUGGCUCUAUACUGACGCUGAGACGCGAAAGCGUGGGUAGCAAACAGGAUUAGAUACCCUGGUAGUCC
rnacentral:rRNA from 1 species